rnacentral:rRNA from 1 species
GACGAACGCUGGCGGCGUGCUUAACACAUGCAAGUCGAACGGAAAGGCCCUUCGGGGUCCUCGAGUGGCGCACGGGUGAGUAACACGUGGGUGAUCUGCCCUGCACUUUGGGAUAAGCCUGGGAAACUGGGUCUAAUACCGAAUAGGACCACGCGCUUCAUGGUGUGUGGUGGCAAGCUUUUGCGUAGUGGGAUGGGCCCGCGGCCUAUCAGCUUGUUGGUGGGGUAAUGGCCUACCAAGGCGAGGACCGGUAGCCGGCCUGAGAGGGUGACCGGCCACACUGGGACGGAGAUACGGCCCAGACUCCUACGGGAGGCAGGAGUGGGGAAUAUUGUACAAUGGGCGCAAGCCUGAUGCAGCGACGCCGCGUGGGGGAUGACGGCCUUCGGGUUGUAAACUACUUUCAAUAGGGACGAAGCGAAAGUGACGGUACCUAUAGAAGAAGCACCGGCCAACUACGUG